CCUACGGGAGGCAGCAGUGAGGAAUUUUCCGCAAUGGGCUAACGCCUGACGGAGCAAUGCCGCGUGGAGGAGGAAGGCCUGUGGGUCGUAAACUCCUUUUCUCAGAGAAGAAGAUCUGACGGUAUCUGAGGAAUAAGCAUCGGCUAACUCUGUGCCAGCAGCCGCGGUAAUACAGGGGAUGCAAGCGUUAUCCGGAAUUAUUGGGCGUAAAGCGUCCUGAGGUGGCUUACCCAGUCGACUGUGAAAGCUCAAGGCUCAACCUUGAAACGGCAGUCGAAACUUGUAAGCUUGAGUACGGUAGAGGCAGAGGGAAUUCCCGGAGGAGAGGUGAAAUUCGUAGAUAUCGGGAGGAAGGCCAAAGGCGAAAGCACUCUGCUGGGCCGAUUACUGACACUGACAGACGAAAGCUAGGGGAGCGAAAGGGAUUAGAUACCCCUGUAGUCCUAGCCGUAAACGAUGGAUACUAAGUGUUGCGCGACUCAACUCGUGCAGUGCUGCAGCUACGACGGUAAGUACGUCCGUCCGUCGGGAGGUAGUGCGUCGCGAAGAGUAGUUAAACGUUACGUAAAGAAAGUUAGUACGGCGUUGAGACGUUGCCGACGGACGACGACGAGGGAGGAGG
rnacentral:rRNA from 1 species